rnacentral:rRNA from 1 species
UACGUAGGGCGCAAGCGUUAUCCGGAAUUAUUGGGCGUAAAGAGCUCGUAGGCGGUUUGUCGCGUCUGCCGUGAAAGUCCGGGGCUCAACUCCGGAUCUGCGGUGGGUACGGGCAGACUAGAGUGAUGUAGGGGAGACUGGAAUUCCUGGUGUAGCGGUGAAAUGCGCAGAUAUCAGGAGGAACACCCGUGGCGAAGGCGGCCCCCUGGGCCGUACCUGACGCUGAGGAGCGAAAGCGUGGGGAGCGAACAGG